rnacentral:miRNA from 1 species
CACAGGACCAUGGGAGCGUGGC